rnacentral:rRNA from 1 species
GCAUAACGCGAAGAACCUUACCACCUUGACAUGUACGGAAUCCUUUAGAGAUAGAGGAGUGCUCGAAAGAGAGCCGUAACACAGGUGCUGCAUGGCUGUCGUCAGCUCGUGUCGUGAGAUGUUGGGUUAAGUCCCGCAACGAGCGCAACCCUUGCCAUUAGUUGCUACAUUUAGUUGAGCACUCUAAUGGGACUGCCGGUGACAAACCGGAGGAAGGUGGGGAUGACGUCAAGUCCUCAUGGCCCUUAUAGGUGGGGCUACACACGUCAUACAAUGGCUGGUACAAAGGGUUGCCAACCCGCGAGGGGGAGCUAAUCCCAUAAAGCCAGUCGUAGUCCGGAUCGCAGUCUGCAACUCGACUGCGUGAAGUCGGAAUCGCUAGUAAUCGUGGAUCAGAAUGUCACGGUGAAUACGUUCCCGGGUCUUGUACACACCG